GUGGGGAAUAUUGCACAAUGGGCGCAAGCCUGAUGCAGCCAUGCCGCGUGUAUGAAGAAGGCCUUCGGGUUGUAAAGUACUUUCAGCGGGGAGGAAGGCGUUGAGGUUAAUAACCUCAGCGAUUGACGUUACCCGCAGAAGAAGCACCGGCUAACUCCGUGCCAGCAGCCGCGGUAAUACGGAGGGUGCAAGCGUUAAUCGGAAUUACUGGGCGUAAAGCGCACGCAGGCGGUCUGUCAAGUCGGAUGUGAAAUCCCCGGGCUCAACCUGGGAACUGCAUUCGAAACUGGCAGGCUAGAGUCUUGUAGAGGGGGGUAGAAUUCCAGGUGUAGCGGUGAAAUGCGUAGAGAUCUGGAGGAAUACCGGUGGCGAAGGCGGCCCCCUGGACAAAGACUGACGCUCAGGUGCGAAAGCGUGGGGAGCAAACAGGAUUAGAUACCCGAGUAGUCC
rnacentral:rRNA from 1 species